CUCAAACUUUCUGCAGACUCCCAGUUAAGAAUCAAGGGAUCUCCAAGUCCAAACAACAUGUCCACCAAGCAGGUGCCACAACAGAACACCUCAUCACGUACCCGUCCAACGUAUGCGCCACAACAAGGUGACUCCACAGCAUCGCCUAGUUCUGGUGCUUCGAGUACUAGGUCUGUGGGUGUGCAUUGAAUAAUUAUUCUACGUCGGGGAAUAACGCUGGGACACCACAUAAUAAUGCGGCAGUUGCAUCUUCUAAUGCAACUAAAGCUGAAGCUAAAUCGAUGCAUAAACCAAUCAACAAAAGGCAAAGCAAAUAAACCUAAGGCAUGGCUCCAAAUACUUCGCAGUGGUGAAUUCCGGAUUCACAUAUAUGUUUUAAUCCUCCCGUGUGGGUUGAUGAAGAAGAAGAACAAUCUGAACAUCGUUUGGCGUGCUUUAUCUAUAAAUAAAUGCAUAUACUGGAGUCUCUAAUAGUAUGUAAGAAAUUUAAGAGGUGCGGAAAAGAUAUAUGGACCAAUCUAUUGCAUGUUUGUAGUUUGUACUUCCUUGGUGGAUUUGUUCACUGUCCUAAGUUCAUAUGUUGGUAUUGUAUUGAAUUCACGCGUAUUAAUAUAUUUGCAUUGUAUUGA